GGGAAAAUUUGGUUUCUCUGAAUCACUUCAGACAAAAUUACAUAUCGGCCCAAAUUGAAUUUCGGCCCAGCUGAAAUUCAAUGAACGAAAUUCAAUUUGGGCCGAUAUGUAAUUUUGUCUGAAGUGAUUCAGAGAAACCAAAUUUUCCC